UGCUUGGAUCAUACCGACAUGACAGCACCGCUUCCCGUCUGCUCAGCUCAGCGAAUUUAAGCAUGUUCAGGCCUGGUUAGUACUGCAGUGGGGGACCAUAUUGGAAUCCCCAGUGAUGUUCUCAC
rfam:Fragilariopsis cylindrus CCMP1102 unplaced genomic scaffold FRACYscaffold_6, whole genome shotgun sequence.